AUUCCUUCCAAAUUCCAAAAUAUGUGAGUGUUAACUUGGUAUCAAAGCUAAAUGGCUAACGCCUUGUCUAUGGGAAGCUCCGUGGGUUCUGAAUCGGCAAAAUUCAACAAUCCACCGUUGAAUCAACUACUCAACCAAAUCAUAAGCACAAAGCUUGAAUAAGGAAAUUAUCUUCUGUGGAAAACACUUGCCCUACCCAUCCUUUAGAGUUACAAACUCGAAAGACAUCUCUUCGGCAUGUCCAACUCUCAGAUGGUGUCUGGUGAUGCAAUGAGCACCACCGUUGAACGAAGUCUAAAUCCACAAUAUGAAGCGUGGAUUAUAGUGGAUCAGUUGCUAUUGGAUUGGCUAUACAACUCAAUGACGCCAGAGGUUGCUGUUCAACUAAUGGGCUUUGAUAGUGCCAAAGACCUCUGAGAGGCCAUUCAAGAGUUGUUUGGCGUCCAGUCGAGAGCUAAAGAGGACUACAUACGACAAGUUUUUUAACAAAACUGAAAUGGUAAUACAAAAAUGAGUGAAUAUCUGCGACUAAUGAAAUCUCACUCUGAUAACUUGCACAAGCUGGAAGUCUGGUUACCACUAGGACACUGAUAUCCCAGGUUCUCCUUGGCCUAGAUGAGGAGUAAAACUCCAUUGUUGUGGGAAUACAAGGAAAACCAGAUAUAUCGUAGCUUGAUAUGCAAUCAGAACUUCUCUCGUGUGAAAAAUAUCUCGAGCAUCAGAACUUAGUGAAAUUGAACUCUUCCUUCAGUUAAAAUGUUGGGGUCAAUGUAGUAUUCAAUUGAAACCAAAUGGGGUCCAAACCACAUAACGCUUCUAGUCCUUAUCGAAAACACUUCGAUGGUCAGCGUGGUAAUGGCGGCAGUAGAAAAAGUACCCAAUUUCAAAAUAGUGAAAAUGGAGGAAAUUGCGGCCGAGGCAAAGAACGAAGGAACAAUAGAUCCAUAUGCCAAGUCUAUGGAAAAUAUGGGCAUACAUACAUGGUUUUCUAUCGCCGAUUUGAGAAAGAAUUUUCCCCUGCAUCUGGUCAAGGUUGAUGUAAUGGAGGACAAUCCAAUAAUAUGAAUACUAUUAAAUGCUGCCAGACAGGGAAAAUCCAUUCCUAGCCACUCCCAAAGUUGUUGGUGACCCAAGUUGGUAUGCUGACAGCGGCGCAAUAAACCAUAUGAUAGCACCAAAUAUAUAGGUAUAGAUCUCGUAACUAUAGAAAAUGGUGAGAAACUAAAAAUUUCAUAUAUGGGAAAUUUUUGCCUGUAUGAUGGGAAAAAUAGUUUUCGACUUCAAAAUGUCCUAUAUGUUCCUGAUAUAGCUAAAAAUUUUCUUAGUGUAUCCAAACUUGCACAAGAUAAUGCAAUUUAUAUUGAAUUCUAUAAUGAUCAUUGUCUUAUUAAAGACAAGGCUAUGGGUUGCACACUACCGAGAGAGGAGCUUAACGAUGGCCUAUACCGAUUGAAGGGAGUUGAGGUUAUUAGAGAUGGAUGAACUGAAGGCCAACAGUCAAUGAAUACAAAUAAGAGUUCUGCAACAUUUAUUUUAUUGGGCAUCUGAGUUAAUGUUGUAGAGUCUAGCACUAUUUGGCAUCAAAGGUUGGAUCACCCGUCGUCAAGAAUUUUUAAUUCAUUACUUAAAAGUUGUAAUGUUACUGCUAUAUCUAAUGAAGAGCUUUCGUUUUGUGAGU